rnacentral:misc_RNA from 1 species
UGGCUCUCCUAUCGAUGAAGAACGCAGCGAAAUGCGAUAAGUAAUGUGAAUUGCAGAAUUCAGUGAAUCAUCGAAUCUUUGAACGCACCUUGCGCCCUUUGGUAUUCCGAAGGGCAUGCCUGUUUGAGUGUCAUUAAAUUAUCAACCUUGCUCGCUUUUACCGGCUUGAGUUAGGCUUGGAUGUGAGGGCUUUGCUGGCUUCCUUCAGUGGAUGGUCUGCUCCCUUUAAAUGCAUUAGUGGGAUCUCUUGUGGACCGUCACUUGGUGUGAUAAUUAUCUAUGCCAUUUGACUUUGAAGCAAAACUUAUGGGAACCUGCUUACAACCGUCUCCGGACAAACUCUGACAUUUUGACCUCAAAUCAGGUAGGACUACCCGCUGA